AACAUAGCCCUAGAUAAUUUCUAAGGUGUAACCUGCCCAGUGAUCUUAAAUUAUUAGUAUAAAAGACUAAAAAUGGGAUUAAAAGGACGCGGUAACCUUGACCGUGAUAAUGUAGCAUAAUCACUGGGCAUUUAAUUAGUGGAUAGUAUGAAUGGUUGAACGAAUAUUCCACUGUCUUAAAGAGAAUUAAAAGAAAUUGAAAUAAUAGUUAAGAUGCUAUUUAAAACUGUAAGACGAAAAGACCCUAUAGAGCUUAACUAUAAUCUCUUUACAAAACAGAAAAAAUAAGUUUAAAAAAUAAGGAGAUUGGUAGUUUAGUUGGGGCGACUGUCUUCUAGAUAAAACGAAGACAAGCAAUGUUAAUAAAUAACUUAUUGUAUAAUAUAAUAAUUUAACAAUUAUAAUUAUAGGCUAUAGUGACCCGUUAAUUCUGAAGAAAUAGAUUAACGAUCAAUUGAUAAAAGCUACCUUAGGGAUAACAGGAUAAUUUCAUUUUAGAGUCCCCA
rnacentral:rRNA from 1 species